rnacentral:rRNA from 1 species
AGCGAACGCUGGCGGCGUGCUUAACACAUGCAAGUCGAACGUUGAACCCCUUUGUAGCAAUACAUGGGGGCUAGACGUGGCGCACGGGUGCGUAACGCGUGGACAACCUGCCCGCGAGUGGGGAAUAACCCUGGGAAACCGGGGCUAAUUCCGCAUGAGCUUUCCAGGACGCAGGUUCUGGAAAGGAAAGCCCGCAAGGGCGCUGGCGGAGGGGUCCGCGUCCGAUCAGCUUGUUGGUGAGGUAAAAGCUCACCAAGGCUGAGACCGGUAGCCGGUCUGAGAGGACGAUCGGCCACACUGGGACUGAGACACGGCCCAGACUCCUACGGGAGGCAGCAGUGGGGAAUAUUGCGCAAUGGGCGAAAGCCUGACGCAGCGACGCCGCGUGGAGGAUGAAGUCCUUCGGGGCGUAAACUCCUUUCGCCGGGGACGAAUGGCCACCUUCGGGUGGUUUGACGGUACCCGGAUAAGAAGCCCCGGCUAACUACGUG